rnacentral:rRNA from 1 species
AGUGAACGCUGGCGGCAGGCCUAAUACAUGCAAGUCGAACGGCAGCACAGCAGAGCUUGCUCUGUGGGUGGCGAGUGGCGGACGGGUGAGGAAUACAUGGGAAUCUGCCCAGUCGUGGGGGAUAACGUAUGGAAACGUACGCUAAUACCGCAUGCGCCCUACGGGGGAAAGUCGGGGACCGCAAGGCCUGACGCGAUUGGAUGAGCCCAUGUUCGAUUAGCUAGUUGGCGGGGUAAAGGCCCACCAAGGCGACGAUCGAUAGCUGGUCUGAGAGGAUGAUCAGCCACACUGGAACUGAGACACGGUCCAGACUCCUACGGGAGGCAGCAGUUAGGAAUUUUGCACAAUGGGGGAAACCCUGAUGCAGCAACGCCGCGUGGACGAAGAAGGCCUUCGGGUCGUAAAGUCCUUUUCAACGGGAAGAUACGGACGGUACCGUUGGAAUAAGCAUCGGCUAACUACGUGCCAGCAGCCGCGGUAAAACGUAGACGUG